GACGAACGCUGGCGGCGUGCUUAACACAUGCAAGUCGAACGAAGUGGCGAACGGGUGAGUAAUACGUGGGUAACCUGCCCUCCUUUUUGGGAUAAGCCUUGGAAACGGGGUCUACUACCGAAUAAAGGGGGAUGGGCUCGCGGCCUAUCAGCUUGUUGGUGGGGUGCUGGCCUCCCAAGGCGGUAACUGGUAGCCGGCCUGAGAGGGUGACCGGGCACAUUGUGACUGAGAUGCGGACCAGACUCCUACGGGGGGCAGCCGUGGGGGAUAUUGCACAAUGGGGGAAACCCUGAUGCAGCAACGCCGAGUGCGGGAUGACGGCCUUCGGGUUGUAGACCGCUUUCAGCCAUGACGCGGUAGUGGCAGAAGAAGCACCGGCUAACUACGUGCCAGCAGCCGCGGUAAUAC
rnacentral:rRNA from 1 species